ACGGUAACGCGGAGAGCUUGCUCUCUGGCGACGAGUGGCGGACGGGUGAGUAAUACUUAGGAAUCUGCCCAGUAGUGGGGGACAACAUUCGGAAACGGAUGCUAAUACCGCAUACGCACUACGGUGGAAAGUGGGGGACCUUCGGGCCUCACGCUAUUGGAUGAGCCUAAGUCGGAUUAGCUUGUUGGUGAGGUAAUAGCUCACCAAGGCGACGAUCCGUAGCUGGUCUGAGAGGACGAUCAGCCACACUGGGACUGAGACACGGCCCAGACUCCUACGGGAGGCAGCAGUGGGGAAUAUUGGACAAUGGGCGCAAGCCUGAUCCAGCAAUGCCGCGUGUGUGAAGAAGGCCUGCGGGUUGUAAAGCACUUUCAGUAGAGAAGAAAAGCCUAGGGUUAAUAACCCUGAGUCUUGACGUAACCUACAGAAGAAGCACCGGCUAACUCCGUGCCAGCAGCCGCGGUAAUACGUAGGGUGCAAGCGUUAAUCGGAAUUACUGGGCGUAAAGCGUGCGCAGGCGGUUUUGUAAGUCAGAUGUGAAAUCCCCGGGCUUAACCUGGGAACUGCGUUUGAAACUACAAGGCUAGAGUGUGGCAGAGGGGGGGGUGGAAUUCCGCGUG
rnacentral:rRNA from 1 species